rnacentral:tRNA from 1 species
GGGGAAAUAGCUCAGUUGGUUAGAGUGCUGGUCUGUCACGCCAGAAGUCGGGGGUUCGAACCCCGUUUUCCCCG